AUUAUAUUGGCAGAUUAGUGCAUUAAAUUUAGAAUUUAAUCAAGUAAAUUAUUAGUUUAUAUAUAAUA
rnacentral:tRNA from 1 species